GGGAAUGUGGCUUAGUGGUAGAGUGCUUGCCUAGCAUACAUGAAGCCUGGGUUCGAUUCCUCAGUACCA
rnacentral:tRNA from 1 species